rnacentral:rRNA from 1 species
GACGAACGCUGGCGGCGUGCCUAACACAUUCAAGUCGAACGGACUUUGGAGGGAGCUUGCUCCCUCCAAAGUUAGUGGCGGACUGGUGAGUAACACGCGAGCAACCUGCCUCCAGGUGGGGAAUAACGUUCCGAAAGGAACGCUAAUACCGCAUAAUAUAGCGGGGUCGCAUGGCCCUGUUAUCAAAGAUUUAUCGCCUGGAGAUGGGCUCGUGUUCGAUUAGUUAGUUGGUGAGGUAAUGGCUCACCAAGACCGGGAUCGGUAGCCGGACCGAGAGGUUGAACGGCCACAUUGGGACUGAGAUACGGCCCAGACUCCUACGGGGGGCAGCAGUGGGGAAUAUUGGGCAAUGGGGGCAACCCCGACCCAGCAACGCCGCGUGAAGGACGAAGGUCUUCGGAUUGUAAACUUUUGUCGCAGGGGACGAUAAUGACGGUACCCUGUGAGGAAGCCACGGCUAACUACGUGCCAGCCGCCGCCGUAAAAC